UCGACCCAGCAGCGCACAGCUCUCCUGCCGCCAGAGCGUGAGGACCUGUGUGUGCUCACAUUUCGGUUCCCAGCACGAAACUCUGCCCAAUUAACUGUCGAUUGACGAAAGAGCCAGCAGCCAACGGCAUCGUCUACCCCUUUGUGUGUGUCAGCGAGCAUCGCCGGGUGGAUCCUUCCCAGCGCCUGAGACCCAUCAGGAACUGCUAAAUUAUGACUACAGUGGAUGGAAGAAGACCAUGAAUCCAGGCAUUGCAAAGAAGAUAAAUACGCAUGUCAAAAAAAGGAGAGCUCAGCCAAAGAGAAUAAUGAUAGAGAAGAAACUCAUAAAAUGUUCUUACUGA